rnacentral:rRNA from 1 species
AUUGAACGCUGGCGGCAUGCCUUACACAUGCAAGUCGAACGGUAACAGGUUAAGCUGACGAGUGGCGAACGGGUGAGUAAUGUAUCGGAACGUGCCCAGUCGUGGGGGAUAACUACUCGAAAGAGUGGCUAAUACCGCAUACGACCUGAGGGUGAAAGCGGGGGACCGUAAGGCCUCGCGCGAUUGGAGCGGCCGAUAUCAGAUUAGCUAGUUGGUGGGGUAAAAGCCCACCAAGGCGACGAUCUGUAGCUGGUCUGAGAGGACGACCAGCCACACUGGGACUGAGACACGGCCCAGGCUCCUACGGGAGGCAGCAGUGGGGAAUUUUGGACAAUGGACGCAAGUCUGAUCCAGCCAUGCCGCGUGCGGGGAGAAGGCCUUCGGGUUGUAAACCGCUUUUGUCAGGGAAGAAACGAGUUUCUCUAAUACAGAGACUUAAUGAUGCUACCCACAGAAGAAGCACCGGCUAACUCCGUGCCAGCCGCCGCGGUAAGAC